GAUCAUGGCUCAGGAUGAACGCUAGCUACAGGCUUAACACAUGUAAGUCGAGGGGCAGCGAGAAGGAAGCUUGCUUCUUGUCGGCGACCGGCGCACGGGUGAGUAACGCGUAUCCAACCUUCCCCUUAGUAGGGCAUAGCCCGUAGAAAUGCGGAUUAAUACCCUAUGUUGUUCGAUGCGGACAUCUAAGUUGAACCAAAGGUUUACCGCUAAGGGAUGGGGAUGCGUCCGAUUAGGCAGCAGGCGGGGUAACGGCCCACCUGGCCAACGAUCGGUAGGGGUUCUGAGAGGAAGGUCCCCCACAUUGGAACUGAGACACGGUCCAAACUCCUACGGGAGGCAGCAGUGAGGAAUAUUGGUCAAUGGGCGCGAGCCUGAACCAGCCAAGUAAGCGUGCAGGACGACGGCCCUAUGGGUUGUAAACUGCUUUUAUGCGGGGAUAAAGUGACGUACGUGUACGUUUUUGUAGGUACCGCAUGAAUAAGGACCGGCUAAUUCCGUGCCAGCCGCGGC
rnacentral:rRNA from 1 species